GACGAACGCUGGCGGCGUGCUUAACACAUGCAAGUCGAACGGUAAGGCCCUUCGGGGUACACGAGUGGCGAACGGGUGAGUAACACGUGGGUGAUCUGCCCUGCACUUCGGGAUAAGCCUGGGAAACUGGGUCUAAUACCGGAUAGGACCAUGGACUUCACGGUUUGUGGUGGAAAGCUUUUGCGGUGUGGGAUGGGCCCGCGGCCUAUCAGCUUGUUGGUGGGGUAAUGGCCUACCAAGGCGACGACGGGUAGCCGGCCUGAGAGGGUGUCCGGCCACACUGGGACUGAGAUACGGCCCAGACUCCUACGGGAGGCAGCAGUGGGGAAUAUUGCACAAUGGGCGCAAGCCUGAUGCAGCGACGCCGCGUGAGGGAUGACGGGCCUUCGGGUUGGUAAACCUCUUUCGUAUAGGGACGAAGACGCAAGUGACGGUACCUAUAGAAGAAGACACCGGCCAACUACGUGCCAGCAGCCGCGGUAA
rnacentral:rRNA from 1 species